GAUGAACGCUGGCGGCGUGCCUAAUACAUGCAAGUCGAGCGAAGCGGGGACGGGUGAGUAACACGUGGAUAACCUCCUAUAAGACUGGGAUAACUUCGGGAAACCGGAGCUAAACCGGUUAGUUAUAGAUUGAUCCUCGCUGCAUUAGCUAGUUGGUAAGGUAACGGCUUACCAAGGCAACGAUGCAUAGCCGACCUGAGAGGAGGAUCGGCCACACUGGAACGGAGACACGGUCCAGACUCCUACGGGAGGCAGCAGUAGGGAAUCUGCCGCAAUGGGCGAAAGCCUGACGGAGCAACGCCGCGUGAGUGAUGAAGGUCUUCGGAUCGGAAAGCUCUGUUAUUAGGGAAGCGGUACCUAAUCAUAAAGCAACGGCUAACUCCGUGCCAGCAGCCGCGGUAAUUC
rnacentral:rRNA from 1 species